rnacentral:rRNA from 1 species
GACGAACGCUGGCGGCGUGCCUAACACAUGCAAGUCGAACGGAAAGGCCCUGCUUGCAGGGUACUCGAGUGGCGAACGGGUGAGUAACACGUGGGUGAUCUGCCCUGCACUUCGGGAUAAGCUUGGGAAACUGGGUCUAAUACCGGAUAGGACCGCACUUUAGUGUGUGUGGUGGAAAGUUUUUUCGGUGUAGGAUGAGCUCGCGGCCUAUCAGCUUGUUGGUGGGGUAAUGGCCUACCAAGGCGGCGACGGGUAGCCGGCCUGAGAGGGUGUACGGCCACAUUGGGACUGAGAUACGGCCCAGACUCCUACGGGAGGCAGCAGUGGGGAAUAUUGCACAAUGGGCGCAAGCCUGAUGCAGCGACGCCGCGUGGGGGAUGAAGGCCUUCGGGUUGUAAACUCCUUUCGCUAGGGACGAAGCUUUUUGUGACGGUACCUAGAGAAGAAGCACCGGCUAACUACGUG